GGAUUAUUGUAACCCUGCUGUUGCUGAGUGGUCAAGUCAAGUCAAGUCUGGUCUGGUCUGCUCAUGUUCAGACUUCAAACUAUUACACAUUUGGAAGCUGAUCUGAAACUGCAGUUUCCGUUCCGGCAUAUUAAAAAGUCUAGUGAAGAUCCAACACCUCUGAUUCAUCAUCCAGAGAAACACCAACACAUUCAUAGACAUGCUGGAUGUGGAAAUGGCCUUCGCCUCCAUAGAGAGAGAACUACUGCCUCUUUAUUGCUGUUUGAAAAGCACUUCACCACCGAGUCUUUGAUAGAUAGACAUGGAUUCUUGCAGGCAGAUCACUUUCAUUAGUUUUACAAUGUUACCUUUGUUCUCUAGCACAUUAUCAGAGUCACCCAGUCCUUUCAGGAGCAAAGCAGGGGAUACUGGACACAUCCUCAUACACAUGGGAGGAUAUUCCUCCAUUCAGAUGGGAGUUUUAUUGGCUAGAACAUGAAAUGUGUUUGAGAGGGAGAGAGAGAAUAGAUAGAAAGAAACAGUUUGCCAAGGUGGUGUGUGAUGUGUCCACUCUUGCGUCUGUUUGGCCACAAUAGCACAUUGCGUUAUGUAUACCUUAUCUUUAUUUAUAUAUAUAUUGCUUUAUAUUUAUAUUUUAUAUUGCUGCUGCAAAUCAUUGUCGGGCUGAAUAUUCACCUAAUUCCAUGAAAUUACAGUCAUCCCUCAAAAUAUUCCAAAAAGGGAUAGAAUAUUGUAUGUAGAAGAGAAGGGAGAUUGCUUUUAAAGAGGUUCCAUGCAUAAAAAAGAGGUUUCAAUAUCUUGAAAAUCAGAUGCACAAUAUUGAAAGAGUCAUCUAAUUGAAACAGAUUUAUGGCCACAGGCCUGUGUUAAUGUACUGCUUUCCUCUCUGCUCUCUGUUGCUUUAUGAUUCAUUUACAAGGAAAGGGUUAUUGAGAGCGCUGUUUAUAAACCAUACAAAUGACAUGGAAUGCUGUAGGAAGGAGGAUCCUGGUCCCUAUUGUUCCUCCCAGAAGCAAUGCACAUGCCUUUGUCCACUUUUUUUUUUUUUUUUUUUGCUCAAUGUUCAUCUUUCAGUCCCUGUGUUUCAUAUUUAAUCCCUUCAUGUUUUUAAAUUUUGUCCUUGUAAUGUUUUCCACUAAUAAAAUUGCAAUCAAUACAAACAAUACACACAAACAAUAUUACUUUAAUUUAACAUGAACAAUUAGUAGGCCUAUGUUACUACCUUGAAACGUUAAGAUGUUUCUUUUAAUAAUUGACGAUAAUGGCCCUCUGGUCCAGGAUACGUUCUUCAUGAAGUAGCGGCGCACACGACCAAGUGUACCAGUGUAGCUGCACAGCCCCCUCUGUUAGUGAACAUAAUCACUACACGAUUGCUCCGAUAACCAACAGGUUGGUAUGUUGGUUGGCUUUUUUGCAAUGUAUUUGUGGGUUGUUUUGAACGAGCUGUAAAAUGGGGACAUUUUCGGGGACAGCUCCAGUCAGGGACAGAACACCAAAAACCGUGACUGUCCCCGGAUAACGGGGACAUCUGGUCACCCUAUUAUACAGCCUACUUAAAGAUACUUAACAGUGCUUAUAGACAGUUGGU